rnacentral:rRNA from 1 species
AUCAAUAAGCGGAGGAAAAGAAACCAACAGGGAUUGCCUCAGUAACGGCGAGUGAAGCGGCAAGAGCUCAAAUUUGAAAGCUGGCUCCUUCGGGGUCCGCAUUGUAAUUUGCAGAGGAUGCUUCGGGAGCGGCCCCCAUCUAAGUGCCCUGGAACGGGCCGUCAUAGAGGGUGAGAAUCCCGUCUGGGAUGGGGUGCCCGCGCCCGUGUGAAGCUCCUUCGACGAGUCGAGUUGUUUGGGAAUGCAGCUCUAAAUGGGUGGUAAAUUUCAUCUAAAGCUAAAUACUGGCCGGAGACCGAUAGCGCACAAGUAGAGUGAUCGAAAGAUGAAAAGCACUUUGAAAAGAGAGUUAAACAGCACGUGAAAUUGUUGAAAGGGAAGCGCUUGCGACCAGACUCGCCCGCGGGGUUCAGCCGGCACUCGUGCCGGUGUACUUCCCCGCGGGCGGGCCAGCGUCGGUUUGGGCGGCCGGUCAAAGGCCCUCGGAAUGUAACGCCCCCCGGGGCGUCUUAUAGCCGAGGGUGCCAUGCGGCC